rnacentral:lncRNA from 13 species
GUAAUGAUAAAUUGUAAUAGUAAUACAAUUUACAUUGCAUUUUCUAUUUGCCAGACACUAUAAGGAUUUUACCUGUACUCACUUUUUGAAUUCUCAUGUCUGCAAGAGACAACGCAUAUACCCCUCAGAUAUCUGGUCAUUUUAGCCUAGAAGUUUUCCCAUGAGGAUACCAGCUGCCCAGUCCAGUUUAAAUGAGUUAAUAAAGAGAGAACGAGCCUCCAUGUGGACAUCCCAGACAUCACCAAACCACUGAUUAAUUUGAGGGAAAGGGGCAUCAUCUUUGUGGGAACCAGAAAUCCUCCUACACAGGUUGAGUAAAUGAAAUUGGACAGUGUCUAGGCCUAGGAACUCAUUGAAAGCGGCUAAAUGAUUUCAUAAUAGUUCCUCUGCAAACUUGAGUCACAA